GAUGAACGCUGGCGGCGUGCCUAAUACAUGCAAGUCGAGCGAACAGACGAGGAGCUUGCUCCUCUGACGUUAGCGGCGGACGGGUGAGUAACACGUGGAUAACCUACCUAUAAGACUGGGAUAACUUCGGGAAACCGGAGCUAAUACCGGAUAAUAUAUUGAACCGCAUGGUUCAAUAGUGAAAGACGGUUUUGCUGUCACUUAUAGAUGGUUCCGCGCCGCAUUAGCUAGUUGGUAAGGUAACGGCUUACCAAGGCAACGAUGCGUAGCCGACCUGAGAGGGUGAUCGGCCACACUGGAACGGAGACACGGUCCAGACUCCUACGGGAGGCAGCAGUAGGGAAUCUUCCGCAAUGGGCGAAAGCCUGACGGAGCAACGCCGCGUGAGUGAUGAAGGUCCUCGGAUCGUAAAACUCUGUUAUUAGGGAAGAACAAAUGUGUAAGUAACUAUGCACGUCUUGACGGUACCUAAUCAGAAAGCCACGGCUAACUACGUG
rnacentral:rRNA from 1 species